rnacentral:rRNA from 1 species
UACGUAGGGGGCAAGCGUUGUCCGGAUUUAUUGGGCGUAAAGGGCGUGUAGGCGGCCAUACAGGUCCGUUGUGAAAACUGGAGGCUUAACCUCCAGACGUCGAUGGAAACCGUAUGGCUAGAGUCCGGAAGAGGAGAGUGGAAUUCCUGGUGUAGCGGUGAAAUGCGCAGAUAUCAGGAAGAACACCCGUGGCGAAGGCGGCUCUCUGGGACGGUACUGACGCUGAGACGCUAAAGCGUGGGGAGCGAACAGG